rnacentral:lncRNA from 1 species
UGUAAUCUUCCUUUUGUUGGAGUCCUCCCCAAACCAUCGUUCAGUGACUGUUGUGCUGUGCCGGCCAAAAUGCCGAAGCACCACGACUUGGAGCAUAUGGCUGCGUUUCACGAAAAGUAGCACGGGAUGUCACCAAGGGUUUUUGUAAGUUUUGCGACACAACUGAGAGCAGAGAGAAAGACAAAAGUCACACGACGACCAUGAUUUCGAGUGCUCGCUUGAACCGUACAUGGCCCUUUGGGACUGCGUCCGGCCAAUUCCCCUCCAAGCUCGCCAGGGGAGUCUCAUAAAGGUGAAAGAGCCACACCUGGUGCUCGUUUCCACCUAUCAAGCCCCCAUAUCCCGCCGCCCCCCAGUUCCAGACAGAGCCAAGUGCAGAGCAACCAAUAUCAAGACAUUUUCAUACCCCAGUGCAGCAAGUGCGAUAUGACAAGUGGGAGAUGAACAUGGAAUCAGAUGCUGUGUUUUUUUUUUUUUUUUUUUUUUUUUCUCUCAAAGCUUUCUAGGCUUCUUUGAAAGAUGUUUCUGGUUUAAUUUAGCAUUUUUCUCUUUGGCA